CUUGCCCAAAUCAAGAUCGCGCAUAAACAUAUGUUAUCCUCUGAGUUGCUGGAUGGAAUAUCCAUUCUUUUCUAUCGGGUGGGAAAUGAGGAAAUCUUUCCAGCCGAGAAUCUCCUUUUUCCUUCAGAUGAAUGGGAGAAUUUCUUGGAGCGGAUUGGCAGGGCAGAGUCUACCGGGGAUGCAGAUCUUCAAGAAAAUUCCAGUGAUUCCUUGGAGCUUAGGAUCUGGGCAUCUUGUCGUGGACAGACUCUAGCUCGGACUGCUUAGAUUUCUAUUAAUUUUGAAUUCGGGAGCAGAGGGUGCACAAAGUGGCGGAUGACUAUUCUCAGACAAACUCUUCUACAGCACAAGGUUUUGGGUUGUCACGUGAAGCACGGGCACAAGCAGAUUUGAAGUUCGCUUGUGUCAUCUCCUCACCCGUGAGUCAAAGUUUUUAACUGCUGUAUUUUA